CUGCCUUUGGCUCAGGCUGUGAUCCCAGGGUCCUGGGAUUGAUCCUUAUAUUGUGCUCCCUGCUCAGUGGGAAACCUGCUUCCCUUCUCCCUUUGCCACUCCUGCCCCUUGCUUGUGUGCUCUCUGAAAUAAAAAAUAAAAAAUAAAAUAAAAUAAAAUAAAAUAAAAUAAAAUAAAUAAAAUAAUAAUAAAAUAAAAUAAUAAAAUAAAUAAAAUAUUUUAGGAAGUCAGAUGUCAUUGUGAAAAGUUUCUUUGAUAGUUGCUAUUUUUCUUUUAUUUCUUACUUUCUCUUUGGGUUGCAGUUUCAGAAGUAUAAUCCACGAUUAAUAAGGAAGUAGAGGAAAUAAACUUUCUGGGAUUGUAAAUCAUUUUUUACUAAUACUAGUCUAAUCCUAUAAUAGAAAUAACGUUAAGUAUAUGCUAUAUAUGCAGUCAUUGAGUGACCUAAGAAAAUGUAGAUAGAAAUUCUCAUUUAACAGUUUUGACAAUUCAUUUGCAUUUAACUCAAAUCUUUGUACAACUUGUUUUUGUAGGAGUAAAGACUGUUUUUUUUUCCUGAUUAUUAGUUUUUUAAUACAUGCAGAGGAAUAUUACCAGUAAGAGCUUCCUUUCAACUCCUUAUGCUGGAGGUAUCAUGCAUCAAUAAUUUCAUAUUUGUUUCUAUGAAAACCAAGGAGAUUGGAACGUGUAAAGAUAAAGUACGUAGAAAUUAAUACAACAUUUCAUAUUCACAUUUACCAACAGACUUUUUGGCUUUACUCCUAAUUAAAUUCCUUUCAGUAAACAUCUAAUGGGCCCCUGCAAGGUACUGAAUAAUACAAUGAAACAUUCUUAUUACUUAGAGAUGUAGGUUGUAGACUCAUUGAAAUGGUCUCUCUUGGAGUUAUAUGUGACAUCAAAUAGCCGUGCUGAUUUGUUUUUUAUUGGAUUACUGGUUGCUUGGUAUUAUUAAAUAGCAAGGAAAUGAUUCUCUACUGAAGACCAGUGUGAUACCCUCUGACACAAUGGAAAAAAUGUAACUUUGUAGUAAUGUUGAUCUACCCCUAAGGAGGCUUUAGAUAUUUUUAUUUU
rnacentral:lncRNA from 1 species